rnacentral:rRNA from 1 species
GAUGAACGCUGGCGGCGUGCCUAAUACAUGCAAGUCGAGCGAAUGGAUUAAGAGCUUGCUCUUAUGAAGUUAGCGGCGGACGGGUGAGUAACACGUGGGUAACCUGCCCAUAAGACUGGGAUAACUCCGGGAAACCGGGGCUAAUACCGGAUAACAUUUUGAGCCGCAUGGUUCGAAAUUGAAAGGCGGCUUCGGCUGUCACUUAUGGAUGGACCCGCGUCGCAUUAGCUAGUUGGUGAGGUAACGGCUCACCAAGGCAACGAUGCGUAGCCGACCUGGGAGGGGGAUCGGCCACACUGGGACUGGAACACGGCCCAGACUCCUACGGGAGGCAGCAGUAGGGAAUCUUCCGCAAUGGACGAAAGUCUGACGGAGCAACGCCGCGUGAGUGAUGAAGGCUUUCGGGUCGUAAAACUCUGUUGUUAGGGAAGAACAAGUGCUAGUUGAAUAAGCUGGCACCUUGACGGUACCUAACCAGAAAGCCACGGCUAACUACGUGCCAGCCGCCGCAGUAA